UACGUAGGGUGCAAGCAUUAUCCGGAGUGACUGGGCGUAAAGAGUUGCGUAGGUGGUUCGUAAAGUGAAUAGUGAAACCUGGAGGCUCAACCUCACAGACUAUUAUUCAAACUCACGAACUCGAGAAUGGUAGAGGUAACUGGAAUUUCUAGUGUAGGAGUGAAAUCCGUAGAUAUUAGAAGGAACACCAAUGGCGUAGGCAGGUUACUGGACCAUUUCUGACACUGAGGCACGAAAGCGUGGGGAGCGA
rnacentral:rRNA from 1 species